ACCGGAGGAAGGUGGGGACGACGUCAAGUCAUCAUGGCCCUUACGAGUAGGGCUACACACGUGCUACAAUGGCGCAUACAGAGGGCGGCCAACUUGCGAAAGUGAGCGAAUCCCAAAAAGUGCGUCGUAGUCCGGAUUGGAGUCUGCAACUCGACUCCAUGAAGUCGGAAUCGCUAGUAAUCGUGGAUCAGAAUGCCACGGUGAAUACGUUCCCGGGCCUUGUACACACCGCCCGUCACACCAUGGGAGUGGGCUGCAAAAGAAGUGGGUAGUUUAACCUUCGGGAGGACGCUCACCACUUUGUGGUUCAUGACUGGGGUGAAGUCGUAACAAGGUAGCGCUAGGGGAACCUGGCGCUGGAUCACCUCCUUA
rnacentral:rRNA from 1 species